rnacentral:rRNA from 1 species
AUUGAACGCUGGCGGCAGGCCUAACACAUGCAAGUCGAACGAGUGGCGGACGGGUGAGUAAUGUCUGGGAAACUGCCCGAUGGAGGGGGAUAACUACUGGAAACGGUAGCUAAUACCGCAUACCAUCGGAUGUGCCCAGAUGGGAUUAGCUAGUAGGUGGGGUAACGGCUCAACUAGGCGACGAUCCCUAGCUGGUCUGAGAGGAUGACCAGCCACACUGGAACUGAGACACGGUCCGGACUCAUACGAGAGGCAGCAGUGGGGAAUAUUGAACAGUGGGAGAAAACCGGAUGCAGCCAUGCAGCGUGUAUGAAGAAGGCCUUCGGGUUGUAAAGUACUUUCAGCGAGGAGGCGUUACUAGCAGAAGAAGCACCGGCUAACUCCGUGCCAGCAGCCGCGGUAAUAC